rnacentral:rRNA from 1 species
UACGAGGGGGGGCAAGCGUUGUUCGGAAUUAUUGGGCGUAAAGGGCGCGUAGGCGGUUUGUACAGUCAGAUGUGAAAUUCCCGGGCUCAACCUGGGGGCUGCAUUUGAUACGUGCGGACUUGAGUGGGGAAGAGGGUCGUGGAAUUCCCAGUGUAGAGGUGAAAUUCGUAGAUAUUGGGAAGAACACCGGUGGCGAAGGCGGCGACCUGGUCCUUGACUGACGCUGAGGCGCGAAAGCGUGGGGAGCAAACAGG